CAUAGAUAUAGGAGAUCUAGAUUGCUAACGCAUACCUAGCGCAGGUGGGGCCUACAUGACAAAUCCAAGAUGGCGGUACAACAGGGCAAAAAGACUAUAGAUUCUAUUACGAAAAUCAGGAUUUUUGCAUUUUUUGCCGUCGCAUUGUUUCGAAACUUAUUCGGUCAAAUUUUAUGGUAAAGAGAAACUUACCGCGGAGAUUUUGAGCAUAUAUAUGAUUGAAUUAGAUGAAAAAUCGCAAAAUUAUCCAGCGAUAAAAGUUCGUGUGAAAUGGUCAGUUGGUCAGUUGGAGCGUUUUAUUGCCAGAAAUACUGUGCUAUGUUAACAUCUAGCCUUGUGAAUGGUGUUUUAUACUUGCAUCUCUCAUCAUCUGCUCUGUCCUCAUAAUUAUGAAAAAUGAACUGUUAUGUACCCCCCCCCCCUCCUUGCUUGUUAGAGAAGUAAACUGAUGAGAGCACUGGAUGAGGGUCUAUCAUCUAUGGUCUGGUAUAAUUUGCUUUUUAUGCA